UACGUAGGACCCAAGCGUUAUCCGGAAUUACUGGGCGUAAAGAGUUGCGUAGGUGGCAGAGUAAGCGAAUAGUGAAAUGAUACGGCUCAACCGUAUGUCCAUUGUUUGAACUGCUCAGCUUGAGGAUGAGAGAGGUUAUUGGAAUUUCUAGUGUAGGAGUGAAAUCCGUAGAUAUUAGAAGGAACACCGAUGGCGUAGGCAGAUAACUGGCUCAUUCCUGACACUAAGGCACGAAAGCGUGGGGAGCGAACGGG
rnacentral:rRNA from 1 species